AUUGAACGCUGGCGGCAGGCCUAACACAUGCAAGUCGAACGAGUGGCGGACGGGUGAGUAAUGUCUGGGAAACUGCCUGAUGGAGGGGGAUAACUACUGGAAACGGUAGCUAAUACCGCAUACCAUCGGAUGUGCCCAGAUGGGAUUAGCUAGUAGGUGGGGUAAAGGCCCACCGAGGCGACGAUCCCUAGCUGGUCUGAGCGGAUGACCAGCCACACUGGGACUGAGACAAGGUCCAGACUCCUACGGGAGGCAGCAGUGGGGAAGAUUGCACAAUGGGCGAAAGACUGAUGCAGCCAUGCCGCGUGUAUGAAGAAGGCCUUAGGGUGGUAAAGUACUUUCAGCGUGGAGGCGUUACCCGCAGAAGAAGCACCGGCUAACUCCGUGCCAGCAGCCGCGGUAAUAC
rnacentral:rRNA from 1 species